GGAACAUUAUACGAGCCUUGCUUGAUUAAAGCAUGAGAACAUUUUAUUACAAGAGGUUUUAAAUAAACUUGUUCAACUGUUAUAGCCAGAAGGGUCGUGUUCAUUAGGGCUCACCGUAGCAAAACGUUUUCUAACAGAAAGCAAAAAAAGCCUUGCUUAUUGGACAAGUUCAUGUAGGGAAGAACCCUGUUUGAUUCUGUUUUCUUCCGCCUGGUGCCAAAUGAAUACGACCCAGAUGUAAAGGUGGGGUGUAGCCAAGGGUCAGUACUUAUGAAUAGCACAUAUUUUGGUUCAUGGAGAGUCUAGUCGAACUAACUUAACGGAAUCAAUUUGAUUGUAACUCGGACAAUGCAGCCUGGGACUUAUAAGGCUUUGCGGUUUUCUAUAGCUCUGGACCAGGGCGNNNNNNNNNNAAAAAUAUUUUCUUUCACACGUUGAUGGGCUAUAUUAGCAUAUUAUAGUGGUGAGUAAUGAAAUUAGCAUGCUGUCAAUCAUGCUGAAUCAUCCAGGUUACCAUGCAAUAAAAACGUGGCCAAUAAAUUAUAGCGAGUGUACUUUGGGAUAUCCUGGUUUCACACUCAACUCACCUAUUGAACCGAACACAAAUGUAAUUCUAAUAUGCAUAGUCACUUCACCCCUACCAACAUGUACAAAUGACCUCAACUAACCUGUAGCUCCCUGUAUAUAGCCUCGUUAUUGUUGUUUUAUUGUGUUACUUUAUAUUAUUUUUUACUUUAGUUUAUUUGUUAAAUAUUUUCUUAACUCUUCUUGCACUGUUGGUUAAGGGCUUGUAAGUAAGCAUUUCACGGUAAGGUCUACUACACUUGUUGUAUUCGGUGCAUGUGACAAAUAAAGUUGGAUUUGAUUCUAAUAUUGAAUAUCAAACCUAGUUGAUUAACAUGGACGUUAUGUCAGUAUGGGAAAGUACAUUGUUACAAGUAUAUAGGCCGUCAUUGUAAAUACGAAUUCGUUCUAUUAAUUGCAAAAUAUAGACAGUGUAGUUCUCAGUUAUGCUAAAACACCCCUUCGACUCAUUGCAGUUGGUCUAGUCCAGGCGGCAGCGUCUGGCUCAGCGGAGGAGCAUCUUGAAAGUUUUUCAACAUCACGCCAAUGUUGUUACUUUUUCACUGUCCUCCAGAACUCUCAAACUACGUUCCGUUAUUUUAGGGAUCAUUGGUCUAAUUUCUAUGUCUGGAUAACCUCAACAACAUCAUUUUGUUUAAGAUAUUCAGGUGUUUGCUGGUUUCAUCUGUCGGUUCCUUCAAUGACACCUUCCUCUCAACCCGUUGUCUGUGUUCUGAAGAAGUGUUGUACACUAUAUUACAGAGGCCUGUUAGUGUUCAAGCUUUCUGUUUUGCUUUCUGCAUGAUUAGUUCUAAAAAAAAAAACAAAGGUUAUUGUUACCCCAAGCAUCCACAGAAAAUAUCCACGUUUCCACGUCCUCAGCCUUCCAUACAUAUUUCUCCCUAACUCUGUCCCUCACUCUGAAACUCUCUCUCUCUUUCUCUCAGUCUGUCUCUCUCUGACCCUAUCUCUCUGCUCCUUGUGUAACAAUUGAAUGUUACUCUCAUAUUCCUUGGAAACCCCCAGAUUUUAGUGUUGGAUCACUCUCAAUGUUUCUAUCAAAGGUUUCUAGUCUCUGCACCAUGACAUGGAUGCCUUGCUCAUCUGAGAUUGGAAUGCUGGAUGGUUAUGAGGUGAUUAGUUUCAGUCUGGUGGUUUUGUGUGUGUGUGUGUGUGUGCGCUUCCCCAGUCCCCUCAUCGAGAUUCUACCGGUACACUGAAGUGUUCACUUCACUGUUCAAAGUGUUCAACAGAGCAGUCCGUUGGCAGCUCUUUGCACCUUAAAGGGCUUGAACACUACAGUGCAGUAGUCCAAUGUGCACCUCAAAUGGCACCCUAUUCCCUAUAUAGUGCACUAAUUUUGGCCAGAGCCCUAUGGGCCUUGGUCUAAUGUAGUGCAUUAAGUAGGGAAUAGGGUGCCAUUUGAGAUGCAAAUGGCAUGUAGAG
rnacentral:lncRNA from 13 species